rnacentral:rRNA from 1 species
UACGUAGGGUGCUAGCGUUAUCCGGAUUUACUGGGCGUAAAGGGUGCGUAGGUGGUCUUUUAAGUCGGAGGUUAAAGCCUACGGCUCAACCGUAUUAAGCCUCUGAAACUGGUAGGCUUGAGUGUGGGAGAGGAAAGUGGAAUUCUCAGUGUAGCGGUGAAAUGCGUAGAUAUUGGGAGGAACACCGGUGGCGAAGGCGG